AGACGGAAGUGGCCGGAGAUACUGCGCCUUGGGCAGGGGGUAAAGGACUCCCAGCUGCUGUGCUCGCAAGGCCCGGCCUCCCUCCGCCCUGGCCCUCCUCCCGAGGAUGGGAGGAAAGGUGGCAGACAAGUGACGGCGGGUCGGCCCCGGGUCCCGCAACCUGGACACUAGGAGUGCCGUGCGAGGCGUAGGCGGCAGAGCCGGGCGCCGUCAGGAAGGACUCGGGAGAUCUCGGGACCCGUCGCCCCAUCUCCUUGUCUUGCAGCCUCCGAUCUCCGCCAGUCCGGAUAAGCAAAGGAGACCCCGCAUCUGGCGCGGGAUAGAUAAAACGACGCUUUUGCAAAGGCACACUGGCAUCAGGAAGGCCAUGCCUCCCACCUGCACAGAAGUACUGGGGAGAGCUGACAGAGGCUCCAACAGCCCUUGAUCUGCAUGGAACCCACGCAGGACCAGGAAACAGCCCCAAGGCCCACCGUGCCCACCUGCACCACCAAUCCACUCCCAGGGAGGACACCUCCAGGGGUGACCCUCCUCCAGGUGACUUGUUCCUGGAUGCUGCCAGCCAGACAGACACCAGCAGUGGGUUAUAAACCAAUGUCCCUCAGGCGCAAGGGGGCUCCAAACCAUCUGAUCCUUUUCAAACCCUCCCUUCACCCCAAGGGCAGCAGCCUUUGUCAGAACAGGCAGACAGCUCAGACCCAUCACAAGCCUCACAGAAGAGCAGGCGCAUGGAACUCAAUACAAAAUCCAACACUUUAAUGAGAUCAGAGGCGGCAGCGCAGACGCACCACUAGAACGGGUACCGCGGGCCGUGCACGGUGACAAGCAAGCAGAGCACAGACUACAAAUUCUUUAACGUUCCCAAUGUCCUGAGUAGAGAGAAUUGUGUUUUUCAACCACGGAAAAUGCGUAUAUAGGAAACUUCUCUAUUUAGGAGCUGGUGGCCUGCACUCAGCAUCACACAGAUAAAAAUAUAUGACUUUCAACACAGAUCUAAAUACCUUCACAUUUUAAAAAUCAAAAUUCUCUACACAAGUUUUAAGCUGACAGAAUUCAAGUUCUGAGUUUUCAUAUAUAGCUUUAACUCAUACUGAACACAUUUAUUUACAACAUGGACAGAGAAUAAGGGGCUGUUAAGGCCGUUUUCUCACCGUGAAACACUGUGAAGUCCAAAUGUAGGUACAACCUAAUAUAGGCAAAGGUUCGAAAAGUCAUUUUCUCGAUUUGACGUAAUUGGGCCUUGGUGUGGGAGUGAAGGGACAGUCUCAUUAGCACCAAGCCGCACCACCAGGACAGCGCACCUGCCUUGGCUUCCACAGGCACAGGGCUGUGCUGCCACCAGGUGUGGGCUGGGCCCAGGCUAACCCAAAGGGCACCCUGCCGGCCUCUUGACUCCAUCUCCAAGUUCAUCGCAAAGCCCAGUGUCAACACCAUUUCCACGAAGUUGCAGCCCAGGGCCGGUCACGCCGAGGGGUGCAUACCGAGGGCCAGAGAGCAGCCCUCAGUGAAGACCCCACGCCUCACCUGCGGUGCCUGCUGUGCCCGGGGUGGUCGCGCUCGUAGCGGCGGCCUGCGCGCUCAUAAGACCGGGACCGCUCCUGCCGCUGAUCCCUACAGUAGUGACUUUUCUUCUUGUACUUUCCUGAAUUGUCUGCCCGCUCCCGUGAGCGGCUUCGGGAGCGGGAGGAACUCCGGCUCCGAGACGCGUGAGGCUUCUGGGCGGAGUACUUGCAGUCCUUGGACUUUCGGUAGCUUCUCACCUUGGAGCCUUUGUAGGGAGCACCUCGGUGUGCCUGUCUCGGUGGGGAGUCACUCCGGCUUCGUGAGCGGCUCUGUGACUUGGACCCGCCAGAUGUGGAGCCGCUGUCGCUUUUCCUGUGCAGGAGAGUACUGUCAAGCCAGUGAGCCCUGCCCUGACAAUCUCACCUCCUAGGGGAAACAGCCUCCCUCCAGGAGCAACCCCCGUGAGCCCAGCAGCACCCACCUCCUCUUGGGAGAAGCAGAUCGCGAUGGGGACCUCGAGUAGCUCUGCUCGUGACUCCCACUCCGACUGCGACUCCCGCGCCCCUUCGGCAAGCUGUGAACAGGGCAGGAGCAGUUCCAGACAUGGUCGUUCCAACAGCCCAACGGCCCACCAGGGCACUUGGGUACUCACCCAUUCACUGGGCUAUCCACCUUGGCUUUCUUCACCCCCUCCAUUUUCCUCUUGGUAUUCUUCACAGAGAGCGGGGAAGGCUUGCUUCCUUUCCCCUCUUUGGGAGACUCUGCUAGAAUCAGCACGAUAAGUUACAACCUGGCCAUCACACAACUGUUCUGGUGGGAACUGGCUAGCCAGGCAAGACUGGCUUGUGCUGACUGUGACUCCCUGCUCCCAGCCCAGACUCAGAACCGCAGGACACAGAAAGGCCACAGGUCUCGCUUGCCUCGCUUCAGGGACCAGGGACGGGCAUCAUGCUUAACUCUAGGAGCUGACACCAUCUCCUGCCCCAGAUUUAUGAGAGUUUCAGCAAAACACAAACUAACUGCAUUGCAGAAAGCCUGUUCACAUCCCUUCCUGAAGAAUACAAAAACCAACUCUCCAGGAGCGCCUGCCUCACUUCAAACAUCACCAUGUGCUCGUGGGGACGCUGGAGCCUGCAGAGUGCUCAGACUAGCUGCAAUUCCCAAAGGAAUCUGAAGGAGAGGGUCACCCCCGCAGGGAGCAGACUCAUACCCGACACUCACCCAGCUUGGGGGCAGGUGAGAACCGUGAUGCGCUGUCCAGCACCUGGGCGCUGCCGGGGAGGAGGCCCUUGGCCUGUGCCUUGGCCUCGUCGAGGGCAUGCCUGCGCUUCUCCACCUCACCCUCCAGGUGUGUCAGGUCAACCUGGGAAAGCCAGAGCCCACAGUUCAGAACCGGAUGCCUCUAGUCAAACACAACCAACACACUACAUGAAAAAAAAAAAAAAAAAAAAAAAAAAAAACCCCAGAA